UGCAACGCGAAGAACCUUACCUGGGCUUGACAUACACCGGAUCGGGCUAGAGAUAGUCUUUCCCUUUGUGGCUGGUGUACAGGUGGUGCAUGGUUGUCGUCAGCUCGUGUCGUGAGAUGUUGGGUUAAGUCCCGCAACGAGCGCAACCCUUGUCUUAUGUUGCCAGCAUUUGGUUGGGGACUCAUGAGAGACUGCCGGGGUCAACUCGGAGGAAG
rnacentral:rRNA from 1 species